rnacentral:lncRNA from 1 species
GUUGAGAGAAGUUCCUGAUGCAAAAAAGGUAUCAGAUACAGAUAUUUCUUUGAGGAUGGCAGCUAGGAAAGUAGUGAUAGCAUCACAAGAGAUGACACAUUGUGUUUAUGAGAAAGCUUGCAUUUCAAAAAGAUGCUUGUGCAAGAAGAAGGGAAUUCUCUGCAACUCUAAAUAUCAUAAUAAUUUUCCAUAUGAAAACAAGUAGUGUACACCAUAAAUAUAUUUUUUCUGUAAAUUUCAAUUACAGAUAUCCCUCCUGUAACACAGUCUCCUACAACAUGGUUUUGCUCAAACAUGAUUUGAAAAUUGUGUAAACUCUCAUAUAACAUGGUACUUCUACAAUACUG